CGACCGGGGGUGACGGCCAGCCGGAGGUGUAGGAGCAGCGAGGGGCGGCGCUGGGACGGUGGUGGAGGAGCAGCGACGAGCGCGCCGGCCAUGCCGCCGCUCGCCGGAGCACAUCAGCAUCUCGUCGCUCGUAAAUAUUACUUCCCCAUGUUAUGCUUGACAUGGCCUGUCGAAGUUGCAAGUGGUGACUGGUGAGCAAGAGCAAAGUCGCUACCUCACUUGAAGAGCUCUCACCUGUCACCGAGAGGCCUCAUCCAAAUUGCUACACAUCAACUUCUUUGGACUCGCCAAGGCGGCACCCCUCUUGGAAAAUCUGAGGGUUAUUAGGUCAUCUGAGACCUGAAUUAUAAGCACAGUCAUGUAUUUGUGACAAUUAUUAGAAGCGAAUGGUCGAGAAAUUGGAUGUGAGGGUGGCCCUGGUGUGGGAGGCGGCGCGGCCUCGGCAGAAGGACCAGACGGAGUCCAGUGUGGAAUGUUGCUGUUCUAGGUUGGUUACCACAUCAACUAAGUUGUGUUCUCCUUUAAGCUCUCGAUCUCUUGACGGCGCUGCUAAUACUGGUGACAUGGUUUGAAAUAGGGAAUCUUGGGUAAUAAUUUGAUUACCAAAGAUUUCGAUUUGCUGUGAAUGGCAUAAUUAUUUGAGCACGGAAGACAACAAAGGUGCAUGGUCUCAUGAAGAGGGCAUUCUUUUAUGUGAGGCUUGGUACAGACGUCUUGUCAACCCUGCUGUCUGCGCUCCUCAACUGAAUAUCGGCGUGGACGCUGGCACAUUCCCGAGGGUGCAUUUGAGCAGUGACGGUCAUCUUGCCGAUUCAGUACGCUGGUGAUCUAAUACUAGGUGUUGACCAUGAGGAUUUCACGAAUAUUAGAAGGUUGCUGCAGAUCGGUACUGAAAUCCAGGCUGCCCGGUUUUCUUCUUGGACUUGCACAAGCUCCCUCUGACGAAAGCAGUUAGAUACUUGAACAAGAGAAGCUAUUUUGGCAUCCCCUGAUUACUACCUACACUCCUGUACUAGACAAGGAUGAGGUGAAGGUCAAAAUAUGUGUGAACCGGGGGAUGACUCUUCUUUUGAUGAUGAGAACAUGCUAGAUCGAAGAGGGCAUGCUUUUGUGUGGGGGAUAUCUAAUACUCCGUAUAUGAAGUCAUAAAUCAGGGAUAUAUGUAAAUCAGGUAUGACGCUUGGUUCAUGCUGGGCGAUGGAGAAUCACUGCUGAAGGUGAUAUUGAAGGCAUCAUCAUGGCAGGUCCUACGCUCUAGGUUUAUGCUGGCUUUUAGUAGAAUAUUGCAGUUCCUUUGAGUGCAGUGGUUUGUUUUUUAAGAUCUAUAGAACUUCAAAUUGUGAGAAUUAUUUGUUAACGUCUCCUAUUAUCUUGUCUUAAUGCAUUGUCUCAAUUUGACCAAGCAGAAGCUCUCAAACAAUGCAGCAUACAUGUAAUGUAAUCGUCAGGAAAAAAGAAGAACUACGGUCCCCAUACAGGCUGUCAAUUUACUAUCGGUGCCUAUGUGUUUUAUUUCUUGCUAAUCAUUACCAUGUAUUCACUUACUGACGCAUGGUUUCAAUUCCGGCUUGGAUUCGGGAUUCACGCCAGUGGCGAUGCGGGUCAGUAGAGAUAUUUUGCUGCAUCGAUAUUCAAGAUCGAUGGUAUAUUUAUGCUAUGUUGUGCUCCCUUUGUUCUAUCAAAUAUGCAAUUUUGUCUCGACAAGACUAAUUUCGUCGCCUGCUCGUGUUCCAAGUGUAUCAUGUAUAUGUUUUCAUAUUUUAGACACAUGGAUAUAUGAUGAAAGUCGCACUUU